UUUCAUGAAAUACCCCUGAAUUUUUGCAAAAUUCACCAAAUGCCCCUCGACUUUCAGAAAUUCACCAAAUGCCCUCCACUUUUUAACAAAUACACAAGAUACCCUUAAUGAGCAUUUUCUGUCAAUUCUGUUAGAUUACCGUCAACUUUACCCCUAAUUAACUCUAUUAUUCCUAACUUAUCUAAUUAUCCUAAUUAAAUUAAAAAUAAAAAAUAAAAAAUCCCUUGUGUUUUUCUCUCUCUACCGUUCAUUCUCUUUCCCAAAUGAAAACCAUGGCAGCCAUGGCAGUCACCACCAUGGUCAUCCCCUUUCUCUCUCCUCAUCCCCUUCACUACCCCUAUUCCUAUUCCUCUCCCCUUCACCAACCUAUGAAAAUAAACAGACCCAAUUCGCAGAGCCUUAUAUACGGGAUUUGAUCUGGUGCAUCACAACUCCAUCAAACAAGGUCUUCAUCCCUCUGAUUGUAUCAUCACCAUCGUUAAUCGUGAAUUUCCAUAUGUUGUUGUUUUCAUGGUUGUUGCUUAUAAGUUUGCGGUGGUGAAUAUGUUGCCAGAAACUGUAACAGUGAUACUAAAAUUGGAGGUGGGGCUGCAUUGAAGACCCGCUUGCCGCGGCUGUUACGGCUGUGCUCCGAUCGAUUUUCGUCUUCCCCUGCUUUUUCCGCCGAUGCACCUCCUCUCCUUCUCAAUUUUUCGGCACCGCCGCAGCAGGGAAAGAGGAGAGGAAGCUCAGAAAAUCAGAGAAGUUGCAGAGGCAGGCACAUGCGAGGUAGGAGACGACAGUAGACAUAUCGAUGGUGUGGCAGGGAUUAGACAUCCAUGGAAGAAGGAGAAAGGGAAGAUCCAUGGAAGAAAGAGAAAGGGAAGAUAAAAGGGGCGAGGAGGAAGGUUAGUGGUGGGUUGGCAGUUGAUUUUUUUUAAUAGUAAAUUAGAUUAAUUAGGAGUUAAUUAGUUUAGUUAAGAAAAAAGUUAACGGAAAAGUUAACGGAGCUGACGGAAAAUCUUCAUUAAUGGCAUAUUGUGUAUUAAGUUUAUGAAUAA